UACGUAGGGGGGCUAGCGUUGUCCGGAAUCAUUGGGCGUAAAGCGCGUGUAGGCGGCCCCGAUAAGUCCGCUGUGAAAAGUCCAGGGCUCAACCCCUGGGAUGCCGGUGGAUACUGUCGGGGCUCGAGUCCGGAAGAGGCGAGUGGAAUUCCUGGGUGUAGCGGUGAAAUGCGCAGAUAUCAGGAGGAACACCGGUGGCGAAGGCGGGGUCUCUGGGGCCGAUACUGACGCUGGAGGGAGCGAAAAGCGUGGGGGAGC
rnacentral:rRNA from 1 species